UACAGAGGGGGCAAGCGUUAUUCGGAAUUAUUGGGCGUAAAGAGCUCGUAGGCGGUCUGUCGCGUCUGCUGUGAAAACUCAGGGCUUAACCCUGAGCUUGCAGUGGGUACGGGCAGACUAGAGUGCGGUAGGGGAGACUGGAAUUCCUGGUGUAGCGGUGAAAUGCGCAGAUAUCAGGAGGAACACCGAUGGCGAAGGCAGGUCUCUGGGCCACUACUGACGCUGAGAAGCGAAAGCAUGGGGAGCGAACAGG
rnacentral:rRNA from 1 species